GACGAACGCUGGCGGCGUGCUUAACACAUGCGAGUCGAACGGAAAGGCCCUGCUUUUGUGGGGUGCUCGAGUGGCGAACGGGUGAGUAACACGUGAGUAACCUGCCCUUGACUUUGGGAUAACUUCAGGAAACUGGGGCUAAUAACGGAUAGGAGCUCCUGCUGCAUGGUGGGGGUUGGAAAGUUUCGGCGGUUGGGGAUGGACUCGCGGCUUAUCAGCUUGUUGGUGGGGUAGUGGCUUACCAAGGCUUUGACGGGUAGCCGGCCUGAGAGGGUGACCGGCCACAUUGGGACUGAGAUACGGCCCAGACUCCUACGGGAGGCAGCAGUGGGGAAUAUUGCACAAUGGGCGGAAGCCUGAUGCAGCAACGCCGCGUGCGGGAUGACGGCCUUCGGGUUGUAAACCGCUUUCGCCUGUGACGAAGCGUGAGUGACGGUAAUGGGUAAAGAAGCACCGGCUAACUACGUG
rnacentral:rRNA from 1 species